CAUCGCCCACUGGCUACUGGUAGGAACUAUAUAUAGGCUUUACAUUAUUAUUCGCUUACAAAGAUUGUUCAAAUGGACGUCAUGGAAAGAUAUAUUAUCAAACGCCUUUAUGAGAUCGUUUAGCAAGGAAUGAUCUCACUGCGGAUUGUAUCUUGAUUGCUGAUUGGUUCUUCUUAUCAAGCUUUGCGCGCCAUACCCUUUGGACCUGGCAGACAAGGUACCGCUUCCUGAGCUGUGGUGCUCUGGACUACCGUAGGUUAUCAAAGUUUUAGAAAUGGCUCUGUUAAACGUUGACUGACAGAUUGGGUCACUGAUGUUAAAUCCUGCAUAACAAAAGAAAGGAACAAGUUGCAACAACACGCUGAGGCAAUACAAGUUGCUGCAACCAGUUGUUGUUGCUGGAGCAAUACAAGUUGCUGCAACCAGUUGUUCGUGGGGGGCAGCGCACAGCACUACACUGUUUCAUCAACCAGGAACAACAUUUUCCGGUAAUUUCCGACAAUCGGUAAGUAGAAGGGUCAUUUCCGACCGUGACGCAAUGGGUGAAUCAGUCUAAUGAUAAAAUUAUCACACUUUGACAUUAAACUGAAAGAAUGUUCUUUUCAAGUUUAAUGCAGUGUGACUGUCGUGAAGACGUCACAGUGCGACGGCGUUCGCGCAAAGCAAUCCCGGGGUUCCCGCCUCUACUGUUUUGCAGUAUUUAUAACAAACGCCCAGAAACGAGAUGUUUGGUAAAUAGUAUUUAUAAGAUCCGCAAGAACUUCCUCGGCCGGGUGUUGAAAACGUUGGAUGCGCAUAGUCAAGAAAAACAGUCAAAAAAACCGUUAUCAAUAUUAUCGAUAUGAUUAUUGGCUGGUGCUGGUGAAACUUUCUUUAAAAACAACGCGAUAUAUUGUGCCUUUCUUCUUUUCAUCACCCCAUUCUCUGGUCUGGUGAGGAUAUAGCAAAGUGCUAACUGUAAAAAUAGAUUUAUAAAAGUAUAUAAAAUAUAUAGUGUAGAUUGUGUUACUGGAUGACAUCUUAGUUGACGUUAUAAAGUAAAUUAUUUCCACUCGGAGGGCUAGUCAAAUGUUUGUCAUUUGUCAAGUUGAUCGUCCAUGCAGGUUAUACUAAAUAUUCACUAAUAUUUUUUUACCAUCAGUUUAAAGGGAGUAUAUACAUUCUCUAUCUUAAGUAAAAGUGCAAUUAUAACACAAUAAAACACAAUACAACGAAAUUCAAACCGAUUCUGUAGUAUAUGCGCGGCUACAAGAGUGCCCUUUCACCAAACCAGAACCGUCGUUAGAAGCUUAAUUGCAUGGGGGGGAUGCAUAUUCCUCUAAUACCCGACUGAUUUAGCUAUAGUUUCUACUGUCGUACGAACAUGAAUAUAUGAAUAUAUACCCCCCUCCCCCCAAUUAAGCUUUUAGCGACGGCCCUGCACCAAACUGACCCUUUUACAUCGUUUCAGCGCCCCUGCAUGCCUGUUGUACUUUCGUAGGCUUGAGCUAUACAUAUAGCUCUAAAAGCCUAUAAUGUUCUGUCUAGGCCUGUCUAGGCCCUAGUAUAACUUGGCUUGAAAAGGAUUUUUUUUGCAUUUCUUCUUGAAAAGCAAUGCGUAAUUGUUAGAGUCAAAGAGUAAUAACAAGGGAUGUGAAAGUGGAAGCGCCACAAAUAAAAAACAUCGCAUCGCAUCACUGCAUGGCGUUAUAAAGUACUUCUAGGCUAUACAUGCAUGCAACGCGGCAGGCAUAACUGCAGAAAUAAAGCAAUCCUUGUAUUUCACCAUGCAGUGUCCAGUAAUAUAACAUGGGCGUAAUCACAGUAAUCCCACGAGCAAGAUUGCCUUGCAUGACACAACUUGGCGUACACGACGCGAUUUUUGUAGUACAAUUUUAGUCUGCCGAUUUUGAUAUAGCUGUUUUGAUAUACAGGGUGUCCCAAAAAAAAAGCAACCACUUAAAUAUGCAGAACAUUAAAAAUCGUACACAAGUUUUCCUUGACAAGUGAAAAGCUGGCAUGACUAGCGUAAUAAGCUCAUAAUCAUAGUAGCUGGUGAUAUAGGAAUUGUUAAUUACAUUAUAUUCAAUGGUUUCAUGCAAUGGUUUAUUUAAAUUGUGUGCAAUUGGCGCGACUGAGUAAGGCUUUUUUAAGCGUUGCGCUUCAAUUAUGAGACGAGUGCAUUAGGAACAAUAGAUAAUCAUUCCAGAUCUCUCAUUACCUAUUGUUUCAAAUGCUGCGCUCCACACCGUAAUAUUGAUGGCCUCGAGUUGACUUCACUCCGUCGAUUGGUGAAUUGAAAAUAUCCAACCAAUCACCUGCGUUCAUUUGAUCCGAUGAUACUGUUUAGCCAAUGAAUUACACGCAUUUCCAGAUUCCCCACCCAUGCAAUGAAAAUCUAGACUAAAACUGAUUCAAACACUUGACAAGAAUACGUUAUCGCAAGAACAAGAUGUUUUCGAAAUGCGAGUUGUGAAGGGUUCGAAAAAAGCAAUCUCGCUUCUCCAGGGAAACCUCUCAAAAUCAACUGGUGAGUAUUCUCUCUUCUGUUAGUUUUAGUUUAGGUGUAGAAGCUAAUGCUGGUCCUGUUAUACUUUAUCGAAGAUUACUCCUAAUAUUCAUGCAAUUUACGUUUCUUUUAAUAGACAAUUGCUUGCUAGAAAUCUGACAGCGGAGCUGCUCGUUAAGAUGACUUAAAAAUUGAACAGCCAUUCGAGAUCGCCUCCAGGAAUCUCAAUAAAAGGACUUCUCCGCUAAUUUAUUGAUGUUUGCACAUCAGACGUGAACUUCUGUGAAUUCAUCUUAGCGACUGACUUAACCAGACCAAUUCUAACAAUAUGGGGGCAAUUACGCACAGACGAUACUGCUUUGUCCUCAAAAUAAUUGGGGUUACAAUCGAAUUUGAUGCAGGAUUUUGAACUGACUUUAAAACAGCUCUCGAACACGAGGUCCGAAUUAAGCGAGUCGUAAGGUGUCGUCUGAGCCAAAGAGACUCACGUCAAUUCAGAGUGACGAUCGUUCCUAUAUAAAAACGACGACCGAACAGCAUACAAAAAACGAAGAAUAACUAUUGCAUACGAAAAACGAUCUCCGAACGACGACUACCAACAGCUACGCCAUGCAGAGAAUGCGGAUUAAAUAUUGCCCACGAAAAACGAUCUCCGAACGACGACUACCAACAGCUACGCCAUGCAAAAAAUGAGGAUUAAAUAUUGCCGACGAAGAACGAUCACCGAACGACAACCGCACCAUGAUGGCCAGCACCAACGCCAUGCAAGGAUUGAGGAUUAAAUAUCGCCGACGAAAAAGGGUCACCGCACGACGACCGCACGACGACGCAAUGCAAAGAUUCGACGAUUACAGUGCGACUACGAAGUAGAUGACCUGGCUUUCAAAGUUUGUGUCUUAUUUGUAUUUGGGGGCCCCUUAGGAAUUUUUGACAAACUUUGCACUAUCCGGACUUUUUAUACCUACUAUAUAACUUGCAGUAUUGCUGUGUUGGCGAGCAUUUCGCGGAAUUAGUUCGGUCACAAGCGGUUAUAUGAUACAGGCAUAAAGGGUUGGGCCCCAUAAAUUGCGGAAUAUAGAAAAUAUUACUAUAACUUUGAUGAACAUUGUAAAUAUGAAGUAAAUACCAGCAACGGUUUUUGGAUAUAGGAAAUAUUGCUAACUUCAUGAACAUUGUAAAUAUAAAGUAAAUACAAGCACAUUUUCAUAACGCGGAAUUAAGUUCGGUCAAACGUACAAUAAGCGGUUAUAAUACAGGCAUAAAGGGUUGGGCCCCAUAAAUUGCGGAAUAUAGAAAAUAUUGAUAACUUUCAUGAACAUUGUAAAUAUGAAGUAAAUGUAAGCACAGGUUUUUGGAUAUAGGAAAUAUUGCUAACUUCAUGAACAUUGUAAAUAUAAAGUAAAUACAUGCAUGCAAGCACAUUUUCGUAACGCGGAAUAAUUAAGUUCGGUCAAUGAACAUUGUAAAUAUAAAGUAAAUACAAGCACAAUUAUAAAAUAUUGCUAGCUUCAUGAACUUGUAAAUAUAGGAAAUACUGCUAGCUUCAUGAACAUUGUAUUGUAACGGGAUCGUCGUUUUUAAAAGAGAAAAGGAUGGAUACAAAAGCUUUUAUGACAAAGGAGGAAAAAAAAGUAAAAAAAUGUUAAAAACAAAAAAAAAUCCAAAUUUUUUUAUGAAUAUAGCAAAAUACGCUAUAUGGUAAGUAAAGCAGAGUUCUUAAAUGAACUUGUUGUGCAAGUAAGUGAUAAAACUCUUUGUAAAUGAACAAUUGCUGUUAAUAGAAGUACUGUAGUUACAAAAGAAAGCAUAAUCUAUAAAUUUAUAGAAUAUGGCUUCUUAAAACAAAAAUGUAACUAGAAAUAACUAGGACUUUCCAUUUUAGGGUAGUUAGUUAUGCACCUUUUUUUUCAGGGUAGUCAAAAUUUAGACAAACGAUCCAGGCAACUGGACAUAUGCAUAAACCUUGUUAAUAUAAAGUAAAACAAGCGUAGUUUAAGGAUGCUGAAGCUAUGAAGAUGGAUGGCACAAACGUCGAUCGUGGCUAACUUUAACUAACACUCGCUUUUCAGGAAACUAACACCAUCUUCUCUUUUAGAACACUAACCCCUAUUUUUUUUAGAAUACUAACACCAUUUUCUCUUUUAGAAUACUAACCAAAUUUUUCUUUUUUAGAAUACUAACACCAUUUCCUCUUAUUUAGAAUACUAACAACAUUUUCUCUUUUUUAGAAUACUAACACCAUUUUUUAGGCGAAUACUAACAGCCCCGUUCUCUUAUUUAGGGUACUAACAUAUUUCAUACUAUUUUUGUCUCUUUUCUAGAGUAGUUAAUAGUCUUACUAACCAUUCUAUUUUAGGUUACUAACUCCCUAUGUCAUAUUACUAUUGUCUCGUUUCAGGGGUGAUGAUUAGCCUCAAGGUAAGGUUACUAACAUCUUUUUCAGAUUGACGUCUGCGAUGCUGAAAUAAGAGCCACGGCAUUAAGACUUGGAGUAGAAGAAUCUUCCAACUGAUAAAAGCCUAGUCUAGACAUGAGGAAAGAGAUUGUCGUGAAGAGAUGGUUGAGAAAGAAUGACCUGUUCGUAUUGGAUACGUAUUCCGUUAUUCAAGAAGCUGAUGUGAAGUCUUUAUUGGAAAGGCGUUUGAAACACAUCAAACGGUAAAUAUAGUUGACUUGAAACUUUUAGAAUACUAACCAAAAUUUCCUUUUUUAGAAUACUAACACCAUUUCCUCUUAUUUAGAAUACUAACAACAUUCUCUCUUUUUUAGAAUACUAACAACAUUUCUUCUUUAGAACACUAACAACAUUUCCUCUUAUUUAGAAUACUAACACCAUUUUCUCCUAUUUAGGAUACUAACACCAUUUUCUUCUUUAGAAUACUAACACCAUUUUUUAGGCGAAUACUAACAGCCCCGUUCUCUUAUUUAGGGUACUAACAUAUUUCAUACUAUUUUUGUCUCUUUUCUAGAGUAGUUAAUUGUCUUACUAACCAUUCCAUUUUAGGUUCUAACUCCCUAUGUCAUAUUACUAUUGUCUCGUUUCAGGGGUAAGGUUUAGCCUCAAGGUAAGGUUACUAACAUCUUUUUCAGAUUGACGUCUGCGAUGCUGAAAUAAGAGCCACGGCAUUAAGACUUGGAGUAGAAGAAUCUUCCAACUGAUAAAAGCCUAGUCUAGACCUGAGGAAAGAGAUUGUCGUGAAGAGAUGGUUGAGAAAGAAUGACCUAUUCGUGCUGGAUACGUUAUUCAAGAAGCUGAUGUGAAGUCUUCGUUGGAAAGGCAUUUGAAACACAUAAACAAACGUAUCAACAUGGCGAAUUUCUUCCGAUGCAGAAUGUGUGAGCGUGUUGUUUGUAAACGGCGGUUCCUCGAAGCCUUUUCGUGCCACCUGAGUCCUGGUUUUUACGCAAUGUAUUUUCCACUUCAAGUCUUCGACAUCAUAAUGAAAGAACUCUGGACGUUUUAGAUUAUAACGGCGAACCUAAAUGACGGUAAAAUGUGUAGACAUUUGCUGUACACAAUAUCAUAAUAUUAGGUGCAUAUUUUACUGUGAAAAGUAUAUAAUUCACAGCUUUUUAUUUCGCAACUGUUUGUAACAAUUUAAUUCCAGUGCUCAACACCAAGCAAAAAUGCAUGCAUGCAUGGUAUAUUUUCGGCCAUUGAUCUUCACUGUGAAUUCCAUCCUUUUUGGCUGAAAUGUUUGCAGUAUAAACGUUCAACUUAAGAUGCGCAAAAAACCAGGUUAGGAUCACCGAUAAAUCUUAAAACCAAACUUAAUGUUAAAUCUAAACAUUAAAUCUAAACUUCUAGGUUAUUGUAGGCAUUACAGUCACUCAGGAUGAGAAUUCACAGUGAAUUUGAUCUUAAAAUUUUCUGAUAUUUCGGCAUUAAUUUUCCCUGUCGUUUGUGUCAGUACACCGAAAAGAAGAGCACUGGGAUACCU